GACAGAGGGUGCAAACGUUGUUCGGAUUUACUGGGCGUAAAGCGCGUGUAGGCGGCCUUGCAAGUUAGAUGUGAAAGCCCACGGCUCAACCGUGGAAGCGCAUCCAAAACUGCAUCGCUCGAGUCUCGGAGAGGAAGGUGGAAUGCUUGGUGUAGAGGUGAAAUUCGUAGAUAUCAAGCAGAACACCUGCGGCGAAGGCGGCCUUCUGGACGAUGACUGACGCUGAGACGCGAAAGCGUGGGGAGCAAACAGG
rnacentral:rRNA from 1 species